UCUCCAGCCCCUCCCUGAUCUAGACUCCAACUGACCUUGCCUACAGGGUCCUGGAGACUUAGGAAGAGCCCCACCUUCCUUGCUAUGGUAACCCCUUUUCUCCAUGUCAUUGACCUCCAGUGGGUUGUUAGGGAUCUCAAGCAAAGGCCUCAAGCUCUUCCAGUACACCCAGGCCUCAGACCCGACACCCCAAGUCAGAAAACUGGGCUUCCCAAAUACCCGGAAGACCAAGUCCCUUCCCCAGCAGCCCUGAUCAGGAUUCCUGCGUGGCCCCGAGGGGUGAUAUCUUCUGGAGGGUCACCGGCCUUAGGCUGGCAAUAUUUUUUAGGAAUUAUUCCCUUCCCCGGCCUGGUGUUUCUAUCUUCUGGAUUCCCCUUGGAAAGCUAUAAGGACUUUGUUGGUGACAUAUAGAAAUGUUGCUGACAUAUGUCCACAAAAUAAGUAUAUGGAUAAGUAUAUGAGAUGAUCCAGGCCAGUUCCAAUUAUCUUGUGAUGAAGAGAGCCAUCUACAUCCAG